rnacentral:rRNA from 1 species
UACGGAGGGUGCAAGCGUUAUCCGGAUUCACUGGGUUUAAAGGGUGCGUAGGCGGGUAAGUAAGUCCGUGGUGAAAUCUCUGAGCUUAACUCAGAAACUGCCGUGGAUACUAUUUGCCUUGAAUAUUGUGGAGGUGAGCGGAAUAUGUCAUGUAGCGGUGAAAUGCUUAGAUAUGACAUAGAACACCAAUUGCGAAGGCAGCUCACUAACACAAUGAUUGACGCUGAGGCACGAAAGCGUGGGGAUCAAACAGG